rnacentral:tRNA from 1 species
GUUUCCUUAGUAAAUAAGUAUAAGUGACUUCCAAUCACUUGAUCUUGGUGAAACUCCGAGAGAAAAUA